GAUAAUCUCCAGACUUUCUCCGUCUCUUUAUAGUAAGAUAAAAUUAAAAGUGAUCAUGUUGCUGUUAGUUAUUGUUGCUGUGUUAUUCUCCGGUUGUUUAGCUAACGAGCUAGAGCCCUAUAAUGCCACAGCCCGGCAGAUGUUCCACGCUAAUGAUUUCAAUGGGGAUGGUAAAUUUGAAAGAGCAGAACUCGAUUUUAGUUUCAACGUUUACGACACAG